rnacentral:rRNA from 1 species
UACGUAGGGUGCGAGCGUUAAUCGGAAUUACUGGGCGUAAAGCGUGCGUAGGCGGUUCUCCAAGUCCGUUGUGAAAUCCCCGGGCUUAACCUGGGAAUGGCAGUGGAAACUAGGGGACUUGAAUUUGGCAGAGGGGGGUGGAAUUCCACGUGUAGCAGUGAAAUGCGUAAAGAUGUGGAGGAACACCGAUGGCGAAGGCAGCCCCCUGGGCUGAGAUUGACGCUGAGUGCACGAAAGCGUGGGGAGCAAACAGG